GAGGCCCCGCCCCCGGCCAUUGCCCCGCCCCUAAGCCUCGCCUCCGGACCCGCCCAGCCGACCUCUUUACGCUCUUACUCACUGAGGGGUGGCUGCUAGAGGCUCUUGUCUUUUGAGUUUUCUGGCAGCGCCAGCGGAGGCUUUGUCAUCUGAGUUACUGCAAGUGGCGACUCCCGUCCAAAUCAAGUAGGACUGGACAUUGUGAACGUCCCAGAUACACGAGGUCGCCAGGGGUUGAGGUGCCCUGCUUAUUGGCAUUACAUCGCUGAAUUUUUUGUCCCCUGCCCUCCUUUCACAAAUGGGAGAAAGUGGAGUCCUAAGAGGUAAAGUGACCUGUGUGAAAUCACACAACCGGAUGUGUCAUCAGAGAGCUCCAACUGCCCCCCAAAACCCUGCUUUCAUUAACUACAUGGCAAGAUAGCCAAGAUGCACCGCUACUAGGAAAAAGACAAGUCUCAGAAGAAACUAGAGAAAAGGAAGAACAAGGAACAUGAGGACAAAAGAAAUAAACCUUUAUGAGCACCUACUGUGUGCCAGCUACUGUACUUGGCGUCAGUGACAUAAUAAUCAGCAAGAUUGGAGUCUCUUCUCUUGGAUGAGCUUAGACUGGUUAAGGAAGCAAAAUGCCUGAAACAUAUACUGAAACUCCGACUGCAGGGCUCAGGCAGGAUUGGACCACAGCAGGGCCAGCUCCAGGGCAGAAGCCAGUCCAUGCAAGAGACGAGGCUAAACUUGUGGCAGUGGAGAUGAAGAACAAGGACUCGAGAAAUGUUGAGAAGUGGAAUUGAUCAUAUGAGGUGACUGAGCUGAUUUGAGUGAGGAUCAGAGUAGUCAAUGGAGGUAGGUUUCUAGCUUGUCAUCUGGCCAGAUGGCGAUGCCAUUCAUAGUAGAAAGAACAGAGGAAGCAGAGACUGAGAAACAUCCACACCAACUCUUUAAGGUAUAAACUCAGCUAAACAGGGCCAACCAGGCAAUACUAGGACCUGGAGUGUGGCUUUCGUUCCUCUGCCCCUCUGGAGGCUUCAGCUAUUACCUAUACACUGGUGCCACCCAAAUCUGACCUCCAGCCCAGACCUAUCUCUGAGUCCUCAUCAAAGAGCCCAGGGACCUUCCAACUUGGAUAUCCUACAGGCAUCUCACACUACUCUGUACCAUUUACUGAGAUUAUGAGUUAAAAUGGUGAUUGAGGCUUUAUUUCUAUUAUAUUGGACUGUAGAAUUCAGCUCCCACUUCUCCAAAGUAUAAAUUUUUCAUUACCUGCAUCAAAAUUACCUCAGGGACUUGGUUAAAUACAAAAUUCUGGGACCAACCAAGACCACUUGAUCAAAUCACCUGGGAUGGUGGCUGGGAAUUUGCAUUUAGAGCAAGCUUCAGGUGAUUAUUAGGAACACAUGUUUGAUAAUCACUUUUUCAUUGUAAUAGGAGGUAAAAGAGGUUGACAGCUGGUUGACAGCUUUCAAGCAUAAGUGAUAUUUGCAGUUUAAUGAUAAUAACAAUUAUGUUUUAGUUCCCAAACUUUAUUUCACUUAAGCCAAAUGGAGUCCUAUAGAGUUAAUGUUUUCUAGUUCAUCUUUAAGAUAGAAAAACUGAGGUUCUGGAAGACUCAAAGAUUUACUUACUCAAAUUCACAUUUCUGGCUCCAAGUCCACCAACAGUCUGCCAAGACCUUCCCAGCAGCAGUAUUGAAUUCAUCAACUUGUGAGACAGGCCACUUAGGUGAAUGAGGACAAAUUAUCCCUCCUGCUGAAGAGCACUAGAGCUCAGACUAGCCAAGCAGGUCUGUAACAGCCAGAUCAUUCUGCCUAGAACAGGGAUCAAAUCAACUCUGGAUAUCCAAAAGUUUACAAGAAAAUCUGGAUCCAUCCAAGAUUCUGGAGUCACCUUCAAUUUCUCCUACCAAUUUACAUUUUAGCUGGACUGUUCUAUCUUUAAUCUUGAUACUCCGAUUUUCCCUCUGUAUACCUUAUAUAUUUUGACACUUCUUUUCAUGAAAUCCUUUGCCUGGCUCUGCCCAUAGUUGUUACUUGAUUUUCCUACCAUAUUAAAUUCAGCCUAAUUGUU